UACGAGAGGCCCAAACGUUAUUCGGAAUUACUGGGCGUAAAGCGUGCGCAGGCGGUUUUGUAAGCCAGAUGUGAAAGCCCCGGGCUUAACCUGGGAAUGGCAUUUGGGACUGCAAGGCUUGAGUGCGGCAGAGGAGACUGGAAUUCCCGGUGUAGCAGUGAAAUGCGUAGAUAUCGGGAGGAAUACCGAUGGCGAAGGCAGGUCUCUGGGCUGACACUGACGCUCAUGCACGAAAGCGUGGGGAGCAAACAGG
rnacentral:rRNA from 1 species